rnacentral:rRNA from 1 species
AUUGAACGCUGGCGGCAGGCCUAACACAUGCAAGUCGGACGAGUGGCGGACGGGUGAGUAAUGUCUGGGGAACUGCCUGAUGGAGGGGGAUAACUACUGGAAACGGUAGCUAAUACCGCAUACCAUCGGAUGUGCCCAGAUGGGAUUAGCUGGUAGGGGGGGUAACGGCUCACCUAGGCGACGAUCCCUAGCUGGUCUGAGAGGAUGAUCAGCCACACUGGGACUGAGACACGGUCCAGACUCCUACGGGAGGCAGCAGUGGGGAAUAUUGCACAAUGGGCGCAAGCCUGAUGCAGCCAUGCCGCGUGUAUGAAGAAGGCCUUCGGGUUGUAAAGUACUUUCAGUCGGGAGGCGUUACCCGCAGAAGAAGCACCGGCUAACUCCGUGCCAGCAGCCGCGGUAAUUC